rnacentral:lncRNA from 1 species
GGCAACCCACUGGGGUCCCAUUCUGCGCUGUGGAAGCUGUGUUCUUUCGCUCUUCACAGUAAAUCUUGCUGCUGGUUUCUCUUUGGGUCUGCACUACCUUUAUGAGCUGUAACAUUCAAUGUGAAGGUCUGCGGUGUCACUCGUGAAGUCAGCAAGACCAUGAACCCACUGGGAGCAAUGAACAACUCCGGCUGGACCACCUUUAAGAGCUGUAACACUCACUGUGAAGGUCUGUGGCUUCACUCCUGAUGUCAGCAAGACCAUGAACCCACCAGAACGGAGAAACUCUGGACACAUCUGAACAUCUGAAGGAACAAACUCCGGACACACCAUCUUUAAGACCUGUAUCACUCACCGCGAGGGUCCACAGCUUCACUCUUGAGGUCAGUGAGACCAAGAACCCACCGGAAGGAACCAAUUCUGGAUACACUACUACAUCCAUCCUUCUGGCAACAUCACUUGAAUAACAUCAUCCUUCUCUUUAAAAAUCUUCGUUAGGUUCCCUCUGCAUGCUAUAGAGCCAUCCGACUUAAAGUUUGUAGGCGUUCAUCUAACUCUCCAACUUUAUGUCUUAGUAGUCCCAGCCACAUGUCCAAUGCAUAUAGAUUCAAUGAAGUGCCUAAGGAUCCAGGACACAUGCACACCCAGCUGCUCACUGGAGACUGACUCAUCUGUCCCUUUCUGCGUGGAUUGCAUUUCUUCUGAAUCUCCAAAGAAGAACAGAAAACAAAACAAAAUGGGGCUGUAAUGUAUGGAUGACAUUCCUUGGCUCUCCCCCAUCCACUGUAACCAUUCCACCUUUCAAUAUAAUGCUAGUAACAUUUUAUCUGCAUUUCUCAUUUGAGUUCUAGCAACUUAUCUCUGUCAAUACCAUUAAAUUUUUCCCUUGUGAGUACAAAAGCAACUUGAGAGCAAGGAUUUUGUCUGUCUGUUUUGUUCAAUGGUGUAUCCCAAGCACCCAGAAUAGGGUUUGGAAGGUACUACAUGCUCUAUAAAUAAUUAUUGAAUCAAUUAAAUUAAAUUUCAUUAAAUACCUAUUGAUCACCUAUACUAUGCUAGAUAUUGUGUUAGAGUUACUUAUGUGCAUAUCUUAUCUUUCCUAAUUGACUGUGUGUUUCUCAAAGGCAUAGAGAACAUGGUUUAUUCAUCUCGAAUGUACUUACCACAAGGCCUGCCUGGCACAUGCUAAGAAGUUGGUAAACAUUUGUUAAAUAAAUGACAUAAUGAAUGAAGACAUAUCUUUAUAGAUAACAAACCUCACCCAAUAUCCUUUUAUUUUGUAAAGAAUUACUUUCUUUCUGCCUCUAUUCUUCAGAUUCCUAUGACAAGGUUCUGCAUUGCACUUGAAUAGAAAAAUCAGUAAUACACAUUUGUCCUGCCUUUGUUACUGCCAACAUUUUCUACCAGUGCUUUACUCAUACUCUGAGUAUCCAUUUCAUUGCUUACUAUGGGGUUCAAUAAGUGUUAGUGGUGAAGGGGAGUGAUCAGGGAAGA